AAAUGAUGAUAUUUUCACGAUGGUCUUCUGAAACAUAAAAUCUGAAGACAUUUUAAAAUAAAUCUGAUU